AGUAAGGAGCACGGGUACGACGUUGGCAACGUGAACAACCGCGUUGCCCCCUUGUCCCCGAGAUCCAAACC